GAUGAACGCUGGCGGCGUGCCUAAUACAUGCAAGUAGAACGCUGAAGGAGGAGCUUGCUCUUCUGGAUGAGUUGCGAACGGGUGAGUAACGCGUAGGUAACCUGCCUGGUAGCGGGGGAUAACUAUUGGAAACGAUAGCUAAUACCGCAUGACAACAGUUAUUGCAUGAUAACUGUUUAAAAGGGGCAACUGCUCCACUACCAGAUGGACCUGCGUUGUAUUAGUUAGUUGGUGAGGUAACGGCUCACCAAGGCGACGAUACAUAGCCGACCUGAGAGGGUGAUCGGCCACACUGGGACUGAGACACGGCCCAGACUCCUACGGGAGGCAGCAGUAGGGAAUCUUCGGCAAUGGACGGAAGUCUGACCGAGCAACGCCGCGUGAGUGAAGAAGGUUUUCGGAUCGUAAAGCUCUGUUGUAAGAGAAGAACGAGUGUGAGAGUGGAAAGUUCACACUGUGACGGUAUCUUACCAGAAAGGGACGGCUAACUACGUG
rnacentral:rRNA from 1 species